rnacentral:rRNA from 1 species
UACAGAGGGUGCGAGCGUUAAUCGGAAUUACUGGGCGUAAAGCGCGCGUAGGCGGCUUUGCAAGUCGGGUGUGAAAUCCCCAGGCUUAACCUGGGAACUGCAUUCGAGACUGCAUUGCUAGAGUAUGGGAGAGGGAAGUGGAAUUUCCGGUGUAGCGGUGAAAUGCGUAGAGAUCGGGAGGAACAUCAGUGGCGAAGGCGGCCAUCUGGGACAACACUGACGCUGAGGCACGAAAGCGUGGGGAGCAAACAGG